AGUAUCUAUCCCAAAGACCAGGGAGAAAGGAAGGAAAGAUUCUGGUUCUGUCCUCUUCCCCAAGGCAAGGCUGGCUGCCCUACCAACAGAGGCAAAGAGAAGAGUGUGCAAGGCUGGCUGCCCUCCCAACAGAGGCAAAGAGGAGUGUGUGUUGAAAUAUCCAUUGAAUCCCUGAGACAACUGGAUCCUGGCCCAUUGAAUCAUAAACUCAGCAGAAUCUCACAUCAUAACCCCAAAUGACCUGUUACUCACCAUGUGGCCCAGCUGUCUUCAAACUCACCAGCCUCCUGCCUUAGCCUUCUAAAUGCUUGGAUUACAGGCAUGACCCACCAUAACUGGCUUUGUUUUAGUUUCAGAGAAGAUGAAACUGAUGUGCGUCAAAAAGUUAUGGAGGCUGGGAAGACCUAGAAUGUGGCAUCACUAUUUGGUAAGAACCUUCCUAUGUCAUUGUAGAGUGAGGGACUUGGGUACCACAUGGCAAGGCAUAGUACCCAAAUCCCUUUCCUUCAUAAAAGUAUUAAUGUCAUCAAAGAGGCCCCACCACCAUGAUGCCAUCUGGGGCCUCAUGACCCCAAUGCCUGAUGCCAAAGACUCCCACCUCAAAAUACUUUUUUCUUCAGCAUAACAUUUUAUUAAUUAUCUGGGAAUUUCACAUCAUGUACUCCAAUCACACUCAGUUCCCAGUCCUUCCAUGUCAGCCCCCACCCUUGUUACUUGCCCCCCAAAAGAGGAAAAUUAAAACUAAGAAUUAAAAAAAAUUAAAAAAAUUAAAAUACACAA
rnacentral:lncRNA from 1 species